AUACGGAGGGUGCAAGCGUUAAUCGGAAUUACUGGGCGUAAAGCGCUCGUAGGCGGCUUGUAAAGUCGGAUGUGAAAUCCCAGGGCUCAACCCUGGAACUGCCUUUGAAACUUCCAAACUAGAGUGGGGGAGAGGUCAGUGGAAUUAGUGGUGUAGGGGUAAAAUCCGUAGAGAUCACUAGGAAUACUCAUUGCGAAGGCGACUGACUGGAACUUAACUGACGCUGAGGCGUGAAAGCGUGGGGAGCAAACAGGAUUAGAAACCCUAGUAGUCC
rnacentral:rRNA from 1 species